UACGAAGGGUGCAAGCGUUAAUCGGAAUUACUGGGCGUAAAGCGUGCGCAGGCGGUUCGUUGUGUCGGCGGUGAAAGCCCCGGGCUUAACCUGGGAAUGGCCGUUGAAACUGGCGAACUGGAGUGUGGCAGAGGGGGGUGGAAUUCCGCGUGUAGCAGUGAAAUGCGUAGAGAUGCGGAGGAACACCGAUGGCGAAGGCAGCCCCCUGGGCUGACACUGACGCUCAGGCACGAAAGCGUGGGGAGCAAACAGG
rnacentral:rRNA from 1 species